UAUCUUUAAAUAUCACCUUUU
rnacentral:piRNA from 1 species